GGGUUAGCUCAGUCAGUUGAGAGUGGCACUAACAAUGCCAAGGUUGUGGGUUCAAUUCCCAUUCGAUCCC
rnacentral:tRNA from 1 species